rnacentral:rRNA from 1 species
GACGAACGCUGGCGGCGUGCCUAAUACAUGCAAGUCGAACGCAGUGGGGACGGGUGAGUAACACGUGGGUAACCUCCCAUCAGAGGGGAUAACACUUGGAAACAGGUGCUAAACCGAUACUGAUGGAAGGACCCGCGGUGUAUUAGCUAGUUGGGGGGGUAACGGCUCACCAAGGCCACGAUGAGUAGCCGACCUGGUAGGGUGAUCGGCCACACUGGGACUGAGACACGGCCCAGACUCCUACGUGAGGCAGCAUUGGGGAAUCUUGGGCAAUGGACGAAAGUCUGACCGAGCAACGCCGCGUGAGUGAAGAAGGUUUUCGGAUCGUAAAACUCUGUUGUUAGAGAAGCGGUAUCUAACCAGAAAGCCACGGCUAACUACGUGCCAGCAGCCGCGGUAAUUC